AUGUUGCACCAGCGUGUUUUGCUGUUUGAGCCGUGCUGCCGACCCCUUACAGGGCACCUGCCACGGGCACCUCCUCCAGCGGGUGUACCGAGACUCGAGAGAGUUGAGGAACCAGGGAAUAGUUGUAAUAACAAGUAUCGUGAAUUGCAUUGUGUCUGGUGGCAAGACAGAUGUGAUGGCUUCCAGGAGUCGGGGGCAGGGACCACACGUCACCGAGGCUGUCACUGGACUCUGGGCCAAGGCCUAAGUCCUCCCUGCAACCACUGCCAUGAGGCCAGCUUAGUCACGCUCCAGGGCAUAGCCAAGGCAGAAGUCCCCUCUGCAGCUGGCUUUGUCCCCCCUUGCAUUCAUAAGGGGCAGGUAGGCACGGGCCCUGGAGAAUUCACAAGCAGGCACAGGCCAGAAGGCUCCCAGGAAAGAGGAAGCACCCCCCAGAAAGGAGUAUUCUGUGGGUUCCAGGCAGCCGAGGAAAUGAGGACGUGAGCGCCACGACUGCACGCCCCCGUGCACCAACGCUGCCAGUGUGAACAGAAGCGCAGCCAGCAGAGCGCCGGGCUGCACCAGAGAUGCAUCACAGUGAAAAAACGCGCCAGAGCCUGGCGGGAACUUUCCGAGAGGGCAUGUCUCAGAAGCAGGGCUGUUGUUUCUAGGAGGUUCCAGCUUCAAAUAUGAAACCACCUUCGUUGAUGUUCUUUGAAUUUACUUUAUGCUCAGCCUGGUUGUUGGCAGGUGGCUGCCUGUGCCUGUAUGCGCCCUUGAUUAGUUUCCACUCAUGUAUUUUAAUACAGUGCUCCUUUUUCCACGUUAUUUGGGCCAAGUCUGUCUGCAAAGAUUCAGUUUAAUACAAAUUCGAGUCUAGGUGCUAUAGCCUGGAAAUGUACUAAAGACACUAAAACAUAUUGCUGAAAGAAUCUUUAUUCUGAAUGCAAAGCAGACACCUCGUAAAAAUUCUGGAGUAAUAAAACAAGCAAGGCUCAUGUGCUCAGUUUUGGGGAUGCUCCAGUUUAAAGGCUUAGUCAUUGCCAUGGUGUCAGGUUUACCCUUUGCCCCCCUCACACAGAUGUGGGACUGUGGAGAGCUGAGAGUCCUAUGACCUCUUUUGCUGCCCAAGAACUUGGGUUGGAUGGUAAUUGGAGAAAUCAACGUGUUCAGCUACAAAGCAGGCUUCCAUUGCUGGAGCGCGGUUCUGUGGGAUUCUCCACAGCAAUCUUAUGGCAGAAACAAGAACAAGGAUUUUGGGAGGCUCCUGUGAGUAGCCAAAAGGGUUCUGGAGUCAGGCAGCCUCAGGUCACAAAGCCAGUCCUGUGGGCUAGGAGAUGUGGAAGCGUAAAAAAGUGACUGCACCUCCAGCAAGAUCCUUUCCUUUCCUGCAUCUCCUUCUGAUGAGUUUUCGGAGGACAAUGCAAUCUGUGCCACGGGUCAAACACUCUUCUGACAAACGACAUGCAGAUACUGCUUAUUUUGCAGGAAUACAAAUGCCAGAAGAAGUCAAGUCACAUUCAUUUAAAGCAGGGUGACAGGUGCACCAGAAUCUCAGAAAUCACUAAAGAACUUAUCCAUGUAACCAAAAAACACUGAAAUAAAAUUAAACUAUUGAAACAAAAUGUAAAAAAGAAUUUAAAAGUCCAAAAAAAUUUAAAGCAGUUCAGCCAUUUCAUUUCUCCCUUUAUAAUAUUGUAUCUAGAAAUUUAUUACAUGUAUAGAUGCAAACAUUUUAACAAAUGUAACAAUGUGAGGUUGCAUAGCUGCUUACUGAUUUACAGAUAUAGAUACAACUACAUAGAGGCACACAUGCAGGUGCCCCUGGUCAUGUACAAUUUCACCGUCUGAACUUGCUAUCUGAACUCAAGAACAAGAGGUUUUGGAGAGAAAGGGAUACUUGUAUACAUGGAUGUAUACAUAGCUUUUGGGUUAUGGCUUGUCUUCCAAAAGAAGGAUGUUAUACAUGGUUCCUGCAUCUUGGCUCAACCAAAUAGCACUUCCUAGAAAUCUUACUAAGUCAACUGGUAUAUUCUAAUUAAUUCUUUGUGCUGGUUACAUAAUAUUCUGAGGGGUAGAAGUGUAGCGACACCAUAUUUUAUUCAGCCACUCUCCUAUUGAUGGGCACUUAUGUUAUUUACAGUUUUUGGAUGCUAUAAACAGUGCUGCAAUAAAUAUUGUUGCACAUAUGUCCAAUUUACUAAAGAUUUUAUUUCUCCAAAUAGAAUUGUAUUUCUCGUCUCCAAACAGAAUUUUAUUAUCUCCAAUUUCAUUUAACCUUCCCUUCCACACACAUAGUCAGAUAAUCAACUUGAUUAUAUGUAGGGUGUGUGUGUGUGUGUGUGUGUGUGUGCGCGUGUGUGUGUGUUGUUUUGUUUAUUUUUGUUUUAUUUUUGAUGUUGUUUUGCUCGCUAGACUGAACACUCCAGGACUUCUUUAAAUCUAUUUCUUGAGUAAGCACUUGACAAGAAGCCAGGGCCCAGUGUUCUAGAAGACAUCAGUCCAGGCCCCCUCACUGAAGGAAGCCCGGGUGGGUUUUCUGAGGUUCACAUGGGGACCUGACUGGUAUCCCAAGGAUAAGGGCCCUGUUGUCCAGUGAGCAGCGGGGCCCAGGUGCCCUCAGCUGAAACUCAUCCAAGAUUAGUAACAUUCCUGCCAAAUUCCAGUUUUAUUGCAUUAUUUCAUUUAAAAUUGCAUGUAUAACAUGGAUAAGUUAUAAACAGAACAGCCAUUUUAAUGAAAACAACCGGAGAUAUGAGUGGAUGUUGCCUUUAUUCUAGUUGGAGACAACCAUAUUUACACAACUUGUUCGGAGAUGCUCACAAUGGUCAAUGGACUCCACACUACAGCUCCAUGAAGCAGUGUUUGCUUCGGGUGACAGAGCCUCUCUGGUCGCCCACAAGCUGCUCUGCUGGUGACCUGGUUUCACAAGGUUGUUUUACCUUGGGCUACUGCUGUGUUCACAGUUGUGCUUCGAGAAUGCCAAAGUUCAUUGCUCUGUUUGCAAAGAUGUUUGGCUUGUUGGGGAGAUAAAAUACAAUAUAUUUAGACUUUAGAUAUUGACAGUCCAGCUUUUGACUUCUGAAGUCUUUGUAGAGAGAGAGAGGAAGAGGGAGAGAUUGACAGAGGACCCUCCUGUGGUGUGGGGUCUGUGCUGAUGUCUGGAUUUUUAAAAAACAUUUAUUAUCAGGCUUCAUACAGAAGGAACCGUUUUGUAGAGCUCUGAAUUUAGGCUUUGACAGAUAAGAAUGUCUGAAAUGAACAAGACUAGUUUGGUUAGCUCUUAUUAGAAGACCAGUUUGUAGGUCCUUAAUUGUAUCCUGUUUAUAGAACUGGAUUGUGUGUGUAUGUGUGUGUGUGUGUGUGUGUGUGUGUGUGUGUGUGUGUGUGUAUGUGUAUGUGAUUUGCUCUUUUGACAGGUUUUGUGCAACUGACAACAGCUCUUUCUCAGCCUAUUUUUCUCUGGUGGACAGAAUGUUCACUGUUAAUUUAUUCUGUUGACUCUUCAUUCAUUCAACAAAUAUUUGUUCAGCCCUACUAUGCGCCAAGCACUGUCUGGCCUGUAAAGAUGUCAAGACAUGUACCCGCUCUUCCAAUAAAUAUUUCUGUUAUAAGUUGUAAAAAUAUUCAGUGACAUAAAAGUAAGAAAGGUUCUAUUAAGAACAGGUUGCUUUUUAAAAUAUGUAAGUUUAUUUUGGAUGCAAUAUGAGACUGAAUUCCAAUGCAAAGUUGUUUUAAGAGAAUGUGAAAAUCCCACCAUUCACCGACUUAGGAGAAAAGUUACUCUGAGAAUUAAUAGAAGCUAAAUAAAAGAA